GGGGAAUAUUGCGCAAUGGGGGAAACCCUGACGCAGCAAUACCGCGUGAGUGAAGAAGGUUUUCGGAUCGUAAAGCUCUGUUAUUGGGGAAGAAAAAAAGACGGUACCCAAGACGAAGGUCCCGGCUAACUACGUGCCAGCAGCCGCGGUAAUACGUAGGGGACAAGCGUUGUCCGGAUUUACUGGGCGUAAAGGGCACGCAGGCGGUUUUUUAAGUCAGAUGUGAAAGGUACCGGCUCAACCGGUGACAUGCAUUUGAAACUGAAAGACUUGAGUAUUGGAGAGGCAAGUGGAAUUCCUAGUGUAGCGGUGAAAUGCGUAGAUAUUAGGAGGAACACCGGUGGCGAAGGCGGCUUGCUGGACAAAUACUGACGCUGAGGUGCGAAAGCGUGGGGAGCAAAC
rnacentral:rRNA from 1 species